AGAAUCAACGCUGGCGGCGUGCCUAACACAUGCAAGUCGAACGAGAAAGUGGAGCAAUCCAUGAGUAAAGUGGCGCACGGGUGAGUAACACGUGACUAACCUACCCUUGAGUGGGGAAUAACUGAGGGAAACCUUGGCUAAUACCGCAUAAUACCUACGGGUCAAAGGAGCAAUUCGCUUAAGGAGGGGGUCGCGGCAGAUUAGCUAGUUGACGGGGUAAAGGCCCACCAAGGCAGUGAUCUGUA
rnacentral:rRNA from 1 species